CAGAGACGGGCGCACAGUCGGUGUGGAGUUGGUAACGGAUGGCGGUGAUGAGAGUUAAAAUAUUCACUGUGGACAAACUUGCAUCGCAUCAUCAACACGACGUGACUGAGAAUCCUACUGUUUUACAAGCAGGGGAUGAUGGGGAAAAAAAAUAUCUGAACAAUGCGCACCGGCUUUGUGUGGACCAUCUGUCAUUGUAUCGACAUUACAGCAGCCCUCCUACUCCAAAGAAUCCGAGUGAGACACCUGAAGAGCAGAAAACAGGCACCGAUCGUUCAGAGCCGCCACCCGUCUAACGUCAAGCCGUGACUCAUGAUGUGACCGUCUGUGUGGAUGGGUGCUUGACACUGAUGUUUGUGCCUUUAUGAUGAUGAGUCCAUCAGGUACGCUGCAUUUACAUGUUAAAUCGCAUUCAUAAAUUACCAAAUACGACCAGUCUAGUUCCUCUGUCACUGAACAUUCACUGUGUGCCAUAUUGUUUUGUUGUGUUUCUUGGCGGAGUGGCAUCACAGAAAGAUGACUGCGAACCUCCUGAAUUUUAUCAUGCACACUAAAUCCGCUUACAGUAGAGGAAGGAGACAUCGCUCUUUAUUGGCCCACAGUUAGAAAUGAAAGCCUAUCUGCCUGCAGCUGUGGAGGAGCUCCAAAGAUGGGGACAUUUAUUGUCAGGAACAAAUAGAGCCUUUUUAUUUUGUCUAGCAGCUGACGCCUCUCCCCACCCACUCCUCCAAAACCGCUUUUGUCAGUAAUGUAGAGUGGCCUGCUCAGACAAGAGCGAGAGACCAUGAGAGUUUCAUAGCAGAAAAAUAAAGUGUGGGGUUUGCUGUGAUAGGCUCGGGGAGGAAAGGCCCGGCUGUUUGCCAUAUGGUGUAAUUAUCUGCUAUUUCAAAAGAUUAUCUCCCUCCAUCAAUAUAGUGUUUAAAUGUGUAUAUGUGUAAAUGUGUGUGUGCGUGUCUGUGUGAUUUGAUCUCUGGUUUGUACCCCUGCUGUAAUGUUGAGACUCUAUGACCUGCAACUUGGCCCCCCAUUUAAGCUGGGUUAGCUAUGAUCCCCCGCCCCAACCUCAGUCCUCCCCCCUCCGUGAUCCCUCCCUCAACAUACACGCACACAUACACAUAAACGCAGAGUCUCAACACAAAAGAAAUAUUCAGCUGUAGAGAGGGGGUCCCUCAGAGGGCGCGACAUUGAACUGGGGGGGGGAUUAAGAAGAAAUGGCUGGCUGACACUGGGGUUGCCAUGGCAAAGCCUUCUUUUCUCCUCUCCCUCGACCCUCCGCCUAUUUUUCAUUUUAGGCCUCAUUGUGGGGUGAGGUGUAAGUGUGUAUAUGUGUGUGUGUGUUGUUUUGGAGGGGGGGGCAGUUUCGUGAUAAAGUUUAGCUUAUUCACUAAGAGGCUUUAAAUAUUUUACUUCAACAUCAGAGUUUAUUUGUCCUCCUACAUUAAUUUUUCAAUCAUCAUACCAGUUAAUUUGUGUAUUUCUGCAUAUCUAUAGAGGACUGCAUACCAUAAGAGGAUACAAAGGCAAUAAAACAGCUCAAGACAAAACCUCUGCUUGUUUUAUGAGUUUGGGAAUUGUAGCCGCGUUAAUAUGACGCAUUACUCAUCUAUUGUGUUAUCGUGGUCGCCUGACAUCGGCUUCCCACCCCAGCAGGGUAAUGGAUGCAGGUCUAGCCUCCUCAAUGACAUCAGCACCCACAGCCGAUGAAACACAGCGUGAAUGACCAUAGAUCAGCGUCUACCAUCCUGACGUCAGCCGCGGUCUGUGCUGCUGCGUAGUGACACUGUCCGUAGUUGUUCCCCAGCUAUGGCCUGUCUAUGACAAUGGGAGCUCUCAGCCUGUGGCCGGGUGAUGGCUGUGUAGAAAAAGCUUAGCUGCACAGUAGGACAUCACAGUAUUGUUCUCCGGGUUUCAAGCAUAAGAGAACUGUGGCAGAAUCGACGAUAGUCCUGUCGUAUUGUUCUGAGCGCUGUCACAACAAAGACAGUUUAUCUGCAGACCUUUAAAGCAAUAUACAUUUAAUUUAAACAGUGCUUUUAGUUAAAAAAAAUAUUCAUGUAUUUUAAUAUUUACCUUUUGUAUUGCAGAUUAUUUUGUGAACUCUGAAAUUUCCACUUCUGUCAAUGUGAAUGUGAUGGUUUUGUUGUGGUACUGCUGUGCUAAGGUGAAGGCAGACUCCUAUAUAAAAGUAAAUGGAUAAAAAAAACAUCAUGGUUACAUACCACUAGACUUUUGUUGCAAAAAAAAAAAAAAGUAAAUAAAGCCUUUUAUUUUCUGAAGCAUUGAGUCUCAUGAUGCUUUACAAAACACUAUAAAUAACAAUGCUAAUAACUUCACCUGUUUCGGAUGCUGUUAUGUGUGUUUUGAAGUGAAGAUGAAAAGGCUCUAGUUUCUGCUUUAAUCAAGAGGUGGUAAUGCAACAAAGCAGCCUCUCUCAAUUUCCUCUCUAGCUUAAAUACACUUGAAAAUAUAAAAAUAGUUUUUAUGUAACACAGGCGUCUUUGCCCUGUGGACAGUGGACUCAUUCUGCCACUGUCCUGUGUCAUUCUGUUCCUCUGCUGAGUGACCUAACCUCUGAGGUUUGAGCUGCAUCUUCAGCUCUGUCCCUGUCCUCUGUGUGUCUGACCAUCCGUCCUCCCUCUUUUACACCCUGCCUCGUCUGUCAGUUCAGCUCACAGUUACAGCCGCUGUCUGUCCCGCCCGCCCGCCUGCCCGUCUCCCUGCCUGCCUCGGUGAACAUUCAACGCUGUCGGUGAGUUUAGUAUGGAUCACAUAAAAACCAUCGACCGUUGACUGUGCCCCGUGGUGGGCUCCGACCACAUCAGACAUGAACAAAAAUGCAGAGUGUGAUGGACAAAAGGACAAGUGGGUGCAGAGAAGAAGACGUGCACACAUACAUACACAAAAGUGACACUCUGUUUCCACUGUACCCAAAGACCAAAGGUCACAAUCAACAUUCAUUGCUGUCGCUGGGUUGGACUGUGUAGAAAAGCUCACUGAACAAUGAGUGCAACUGUGGCCCAGAUCUGCCUGACUUGCGUCUCAGCCAAUCAGCCGACCGGAUGUGAAACACUCUGAUUUCUUUAUUUAUAUAGUUCUUGUUUUUCACUUCUAUUUUCUCCUCUCUUCCUCCCUCCCCGGUGCUGGGAGUCUUCAGGGGAAGAAAGAAAGAGAGAUAGAGACACAAAUAGACUACUGGCUGCUUGCUUGUCCUCAUCCUCCUCUCCUCUCCUCUAAUUGGUGGUUAUGUGUGCAGCAAGGGGGAAGGAAGUGGAGUGAAUGUGUAAUCAUUUGGAGUCUCUUCUCCUUUAGAUGUUUCAUCCCUCUCUUUUUUGUUUGUCUAAUUAUAUACUGUGUUCAGUUAACUCUGUGUUAACUGUGUCUGUGUGUUGGCAAGAAUGAAUGAGUGACAAGAAGAAGGAGAACAAGGGAAACAAAAACAAAAAAGAUUGGAAGAUUAGAGCACCCAUAAAAUUAUUACCUAGUUAUUAGUGUAUUUUGUAUGAUAUUCCUGUUGGUGCAGCUGCAAAUGUGUCAGGACAAAAGCCAAUUGCAAAUGCGGGAGUAUUGUUUUCACCUUUCUGACUGAGUCUCAUUAUUUGUGUUUGAGUUUCAUGAGCGUCUGUCUUGUUUCCUGCCUGUGUCUAAGUGUGUGUUUGUGUGCACGUAUACCAUGAUAGAGGACCUGUCUGCUGAUCUCAAAGUGCAAUGUGUUAUUGCCUUCUAUACUAAAGUCUGCUCCCUCGUGGGAGAACGUGGUCUAUAACCUUGUCUUCUUUCAGACAGUCUGGGACCGGCCACGCGGCUGCCAUUUCUCAUUGCGCCCUUCUGUAACAACUCUCCAACAUUGUGUCCUGUAAGAAUAAUUCAUGUAAACACACAGGUCCCACAGCUGAUACAUUUAGAAGAAUGUGUAUUGUUUCCUCAUGAAGUAAGUACUCAUUUGCUGCAGUUGUUUGAAGGAUUAAUUCAAUAAAGUUUCAAAUCCACU